AAAUUGAAGAGUUUGAUCAUGGCUCAGAUUGAACGCUGGCGGCAGGCCUAACACAUGCAAGUCGAACGGUAACAGGAAGCAGCUUGCUGCUUUGCUGACGAGUGGCGGACGGGUGAGUAAUGUCUGGGAAACUGCCUGAUGGAGGGGGAUAACUACUGGAAACG
rnacentral:rRNA from 11 species